rnacentral:rRNA from 1 species
CCCUUAGAUGUUCUGGGCCGCACACGCGCUACACUGAAGGAGGCAGCGUGUACUCCUGGAUCGAAAGAUUUGGGUAACCCGCGAAUCUCCUUCGUGCUAGGGAUUGAGGUUUGCAAUUAUCCUUCAUGAACGAGGAAUUCCCAGUAAGUGCAAGUCAUAGGCUUGCGCUGACUACGUCCCUGCCCUUUGUACACACCGCCCGUCGCUACUACCGAUUGAAUGAUUUAGUGAGGACUUCGGACUGGGACCGAUGCGGCUUUCGGGCUGCGUCGGUAUUCUGGAAAGAUGUCCAAACUGUAUCAUUUAGAGGAAGUAAAAGUCGUAACA